CAGUAGCCGCGGUAAUACAGAGGGUGCGAGCGUUAAUCGGAUUUACUGGGCGUAAAGCGUGCGUAGGCGGCUAAUUGAGUCGGAUGUGAAAUCCCCGAGCUUAACUUGGGAAUUGCAUUCGAUACUGGUUAGCUAGAGUGUGGGAGAGGAUGGUAGAAUUCCAGGUGUAGCGGUGAAAUGCGUAGAGAUCUGGAGGAAUACCGAUGGCGAAGGCAGCCAUCUGGCCUAACACUAACGCUGAGGUACGAAAGCAUGGGGAGCAAACAGGAUUAGAUACCCCUGUAGUCCCUGUCUCUUAUAC
rnacentral:rRNA from 1 species